rnacentral:tRNA from 1 species
GCUGUAGCUCAGUGGUAGAGCAUCUGCUUUGCAGGCCAAAGGUUGCAGGUUCAAUCCCCAGCAUCUCCA